UUUUUUUUUUUUCUUUUCCGCUUCGGUUGCCACCGCCCACUGUCGACUAGAUGACAACCUAGAGGGCUCCCGGGGACUUGCCUGACUCUUCCAUCUCCUCCCACCUAGGGACACCUCCGGAGCCGGGCGGCGGAUGGGACGCCGGCGGAGCCAGAGAGCAUGCGCGUCCGCGCCGAGCAUGCUCAGUAGCGCGCGCGGCUCCCCGGAGCUCCGGCGCCGAUCGGCGAGCGACGCGGAGCUCUCCGCUGGAGCCGAGGGAGCGACAGGAAGUGAAGCGGCCCCGCCAGGCGACCUCGGCGGCAGAACCCGAGGCGGCGGAAGAGGCUCUGCGGCGGCGGCGGCGACGACGUCGACCCGGGAGGCCGAGGGAGCUGAGCGCCGAGGGGACACGCCCGCUCGGAAGCCGGACCCCGAGGCGGGCAGGAUGGAUCACCACCAGCUGGGGACUGGUCGCUACCAGGUGCUUCACAAUGAAGAAGAUAACUCAGAAUCAUCUGCUGUGGAGCAGCCGUCAACUUCUAGCUUAGCAGCGCCGACUGUGGAGGCUGCCGCUUCAGCACCAGCACUGGACCCUGACUCUCCUCCUCCUUACAGCAGCAUCACUGUGGAAGCUCCUACCACUUCAGAUACUGACGUGUAUAGUGAGUUUUACCCUGUGCCACCUCCGUACAGUGUUGCUACCUCUCUGCCUACAUAUGACGAAGCUGAAAAGGCUAAAGCUGCUGCCCUGGCAGCUGCUGCAGCAGAUGCACCUCAGAGAAACCAAGAGGAAGACUGUACGCCACGGGAUGACUUCAGUGAUGUAGAGCAGCUCAGAGUGGGCAACGACGGCAUUUUCAUGCUGGCCUUUUUCAUGGCAUUCAUAUUCAACUGGCUUGGGUUCUGCUUAUCCUUCUGUAUCACCAAUACCAUCGCUGGAAGAUACGGUGCUAUCUGUGGGUUUGGCCUUUCACUGAUCAAAUGGAUCCUUAUUGUCAGGGUGAGCAUCUUGAUCAUUUUUAUGUAAAAUGUCUGUUUUUCACCUUGUUGCUUAUUGCACAUGCAUUCCACUGAGUAAAGAUUUACACUUCUGAUUCUGUAACUCUGACAGCUUAGUAAAACUAUAUGUAUCAUGACUGUGAAAAGUUGUUAGGUAGAAACUUUGAAAUAAGAAGAUGCUUCCAGAUUUUGGUAUCUGUGUCCUUGCUUAAAGUUAUUUAAAUGUUCUCAACAUUUUCUUCAUUUCUUCUUACGUUGAUUAAAAUCUGCCUAAAGGGAUUGCUUCUGAGGAUGGAAGGAGAAGAGAAGAGAGUACCUUACUCAGUUUCCUAUAGUAUUCACAAAUAAUAGACAGCAUUUAUGCUUUGAACAAAUCAUGUUUUCUAUUAUUGUGAUGCAGUACACAGGAGCCUUAAGUAAAACAGAAGGUUUCUGUUUAGUAAGUUAUUGUGAGUUUAAAGUUCUCCAAGGUGGUUUAAAUGUCCAUUUGAUCUUAAUGUUGGCCAAAGACAUAAUCAAGGUCACCGAGAGUAAUGUAGAUCAUCAAGGUCACCGAGAGUAAUGUAGAUCAUCAAGGUCACCAAGAAUAAUGUAGAUCAUCAAGGUCACCGAGAAUAAUGUAGAUCAUCAAGGUCACUGAGAGUAAUGUAGAUCAUCAAGGUCACCGAGAAUAAUGUAGAUCAUCAAGGUCACCGAGAGUAAUGUAGAUCAUCAAGGUCACCGAGAAUAAUGUAGAUCAUCAAGGUCACUGAGAGUAAUGUAGAUCAUCAAGGUCACCGAGAGUAAUGUAGAUCAUCAAGGUCACCGAGAGUAAUGUAGAUCAUCAAGGUCACUGAGAGUAAUGUAGAUCAUCAAGGUCACUGAGAGUAAUGUAGAGGUUGCCCAGGACGUUAAAAAAUUACAUCCAAAUCUGACUGAGAACUCUGACAUUUAGAAAUACAAGAAGAGAUGAGUCUUGGAAAAAUCUUGUUUCAAAUAAUAACUAAAUAGUUUCUCCCUCUUUAAAGCUUUGAAGGCUGGAAAGUAAAGACCUGUGAGACAGUUAUCAGUGCUCACUCCUGCUGGGUAUGUGGUACACACUCACAGCCCAGCCUGUGAGGUCAAGCCAGUAUAAUUCUGAUGCCAGAUGGGUCCAUUGUAAGACCCUAUAUUAGAGGGGGGCGGGAGGGGUAUUGGAAAACCCUCAUCCCUUGUCCCACGGGUUCUUUCAAAGCCUUUCCUAAUUUCCUGUUCCUGAGAAUAACUUCUGUGCUUGGUUAUCAUUCACAAGCUGGUGUUCAGGGGAAAGUGGAGUAACCUUUUCUUGCUCCUGUCUCAGCAGUUUUCUUGUCAGGCAGAUUCAUCUAGCUUGCUUCUUUCUUUUGCCUCUUAAAGGUUUACUUUGGGCUUUUUUUUUUCAAAAAUGUUUCUACCUGGCUUUUUUACCUUUGAUUUUGUGUGAGCGUGUGUGCGUGUGCUUGCACUUUCCUGUCUGUCUCUCUGUCUGUGAUUUGGAAGACAUUUAGAGAGUCUGUUCUUCCCUUCCACCAUAUGGAUUUUCAGGUUCAAACUCAGGUCAUUAGACUUGGUGACAAGUUGUGUCAAGUUUUCUCGAAGCUAUCUGUCUACCACUCUAAAGCCAGCAGACCCUGGGAGAAUGGAGCCUGAAAAUGAGGGUGACUAAAGUCUUAAUGCAGUACCCAGCAUUAUCCAGUGCUUCCGACAGUUGAUACUUUGAGGCUUAGGAAAUCCAAUCUCAAAGACAAGCUACUUGUUUAUCGGUGGAGGCACAGGAAUGCCAACAGCUGGAGCAAACUCACUCCUGUUCACUGCGCCUGGGAGGAGCAGGAAAGCAUAUUCUAAGAACAGCUCUGUGUGCUUGGAAAAACGGAGCUCACAAGUCUAUUCACAGAAUUUUUCAUGGUGUUAUACAAUUUCUAAAUUAGAAUAUGUAAAUUAUGCAAACAGUAUUUACUUCAACAUUGCUUUCUGAUUGAAAGCUAAAUCUUGCUAAAGUUUUCAGUAGAACUACAAGUCUAAAAUGUCUGCUUCUGUUAAAUGCUUCAGAAGUUUUGUUAGUACAUUUGUUUUAUUAAUUUAUUAAAAGUAGCCAUUGUACAAAUAUUAAUACUUUGAAUGAUAUUUUUAUUAGUUUUGAAUUUUUUUGGUAGCUUUGCAGGAUUUUGGUUCUUCUAACAGCUCCUAUACUGGUACAUAUCCGAUAAUAGGUUUGACUCUUAAUCUAUUGGACUCUAUUAUAAAAUGAUUGAAGGUUGAAUCAUUGUGAGAACUCUUGAUAGUUUUUGUUUUAAAUUUACUUCAAAUGAUGUCCUGUCAGUUUCUACCAUGAGCUUAAAUCAGCUAGAUGUUGUAUACACACAAAGACAACGCUACAACCCUGCCCUUGCAGAGUUUCUUGCUAGAGAAACUGAAAUAAGUUGGAGUUAGGACUUAGCUGUAUUGCCAACAGAACUGUCGCUAUUGCGCAAAUGGACUUUCUCAUGAAAUCCUAGAGCAUGGUAAACGAUUCACAAGCUAAUGUUUCCGUGUUCCUCAGUCGCUGCUUUACUAGAGUCAACGCUGACAGACACAGAAGGAGGUCGCGUCAGCUCCCUGUGCAGCCUGUACUCAGGGCAUCAGCGCUCACUGUCUGGAGUCUCUGCUUGCUGCUUGUUGGGGAGAGCAUUUGUAGAGCAUUGAAAAUGGUUUUGUUUGGCUCUUUCCCUUUCUGUUUCCUAAGCUUCUAAAGCUUAUUAAACUGCUUUUGAAUAAAAAGUAAUUUUUCAAUUAUCAAUUUUUUCCUCAUUGUGAAUCUUUUAUGUGUGGAAGUCUGCAGCAAUGACAGUUUUACUACAUUCCAAAGGGCUGGGAUAGUCUAAAUCUUGUGAAUUUCUAAAACUCUUAGCUUAGAAUAUAGAUCCUAGCUCUUCAUUAAUUUAAAAUUAUUCCAGAGGAAGCACUUCACAGGCUUUAAAGACAUGCUUUGGUCGGCUUCAUUUAUAUGCCUCCCAAGUUGCAACACCGUGUAUAAUUUGUAUUUUUACUGUUACCAAAGCUAUAGAUUUUUAAGCUCUAAUGGAAAUUACUAACAAAUAGUUGAAAUACUUCUAACUAAUUUUAGAUUUAAAUGUCAUUUUACAUUUUCCACAAUUUUUUAGGUAAAUUAGAUUCAAUUUGGAAAUCAGUAGAGAGAAAUCAAUUAAAACAAUCUUUUUUUUUGUUUUUAACUGAAUAUGUUAUCUGAAACACUUGAGAAUAAUUAUUUUGAGGCAGUUUAAGAUGCUAUGUAAAUUGGGAAGAAUUAUCCAAUAGGUUAAGAACCCUGGAUUGAUAAACUUUCAAGUUCUGUGAGUGCAGUGUCUUGCCCUAGAGAGGUGCUGUGCUGUGGGUGGGGCCCUGCCUCCAGAUGCCGGCUGAACUCUCCCACCUCACACAGAAUAAAAGAGCAACUAACAUGGCCAG